rnacentral:lncRNA from 1 species
AUGCUUACACAACCCCUAAGGGUGUGCCUAAUGCUUAGUUUAGGAUGGGUGGUUGCAGUAGAAGAGGCUGUGAGUACUAGCUGUACCUUAUCUCCCUGUGCCUGCCAGCUGCUGAGGUGCUCAAGCCCCAGCCCUGACAGCUGUCCCUCUGCCAUCGUCAGGGUGCUCUGUAAGAGGAGAAGAGGGGAGAAGAAAGAAAGUACAAGUCCUCUCCUCUCUGCCAGUGUGACGCUGAAGCUGGAGUCAAAAGCACAGACAAGAUAUUCUCCAAAGUCACCACGGAUGAAAUAUUUAUCAACUGGACCACUGUUUUAUGCCAGAAACUAUCCAUGAUCCACACACCGCUUGGAAAGAGAUCAUCAUUUUCCA